GAUGAACGCUAGCGGGAGGCUUAACACAUGCAAGUCGAGGGGCAGCAUAGGGUAGCAAUACUCUGAUGGCGACCGGCAAACGGGUGAGUAACGCGUAUGCAACCUACCCUGUACAGGGGGAUAACCCGGAGAAAUUCGGACUAAUAUCCCGUAAUAAUAUCCGGAGGCAUCUUUGGAUAUUUAAAGUUCCGACGGUACGGGAUGGGCAUGCGUAACAUUAGCUGGUUGGUAAGGUAACGGCUUACCAAGGCUAUGAUGUUUAGGGGUCCUGAGAGGGUGGUCCCUCACACUGGUACUGAGACACGGUACCAGACUCCUACGGGAGGCAGCAGUGAGGAAUAUUGGGUCAAUGGGCGCAAGCCUGAACCAGCCAUCCCGCGUGCAGGAAGACGGCCCUAUGGGCUGUAAACUGCUUUUCCUAGGGAGAGAAACUUACGCACGUGUUGCGUGACUGACGGUACCCUGGGAAUAAGCAUCGGCUAACUCCGUGCCAGCAGCCGCGGUAAAAGUGU
rnacentral:rRNA from 1 species